CCUCGAAGAUAAUUCGAACCAUUAGAUUACCUACCACAACAAUCAACGGAUAAAAAGGCUACUGGAGAAUCUUCCGGGAGUACGCAGGAUUUUCUCCCAGUUUGGGUGUAAUCAAGGUGCGCCUAAGAGUCUUGUUGAGGAUCCUACAUCAGAGGAGGCUUGGUAACUCGGUUGUUGGGUAGGCCAUCUAUACAGCUUUGAGAGGAACACAGUUAAUUGAAGAGCCCUCAUGGGACAAGGACACUAACCGUGGCUAGAGGUACUAGUAUGAGGAUAUAGAGUUCUGGGUAGCCGGAGGCUACUAUUUAUUAUAGAUGUUAUUUUUGGAGAACAUGUACUGUUGUAUAGUGUUCUAUUCAUUUGGUGAUCAUGAUGUCUGAUCCUUUAUUUUG